AUUGAACGCUGGCGGCAUGCUUUACACAUGCAAGUCGAACGGUAACAGGCCGCAAGGUGCUGACGAGUGGCGAACGGGUGAGUAAUGCAUCGGAACGUGCCCAGUCGUGGGGGAUAACGCAGCGAAAGCUGCGCUAAUACCGCAUACGAUCUAUGGAUGAAAGCGGGGGACCGAAAGGCCUCGCGCGAUUGGAGCGGCCGAUGGCAGAUGAGGUAGUUGGUGGGGUAAAGGCCCAGCAAGCCAACGAUCUGUAGCUGGGCUGAGAGGACGACCAGCCACGCUGGGACUAGGACACGGCCCAGACUCCUACGGGAGGCAGCAGUGGGGAAUUUUGGACAAUGGGGGCAAGCCUGAUCCAGCAAUGCCGCGUGCAGGAAGAAGGCCUUCGGGUUGUGAACUGCUUUUGUACGGAACGAAACGGUCCGGGUUAAUACCCUGGGCUAAUGACGGUACCGUAAGAAUAAGCACCGGCUAACUACGUGCCAGCCGCCGCGGUAACAC
rnacentral:rRNA from 1 species